GAUGGGGAGAUUGGAUCAAAUUUCCAUUUAAUGUGAGGAUUUGGAGUUGAUUGGAAGGAGGGUUUAAGAUUUGUUGCCUUAGAGUGAUAGCUUGAUCAACAUUACAUCAAGUAUUCUCCAUAAAUUCCAUCAUCAAGUUCAUUCUCUCGUUAUCAUUUUCAAGUGAUUCUAAGGUCAAGAGAAAGUGAGGAGCCAAAAUCAUCUCACCUCUUCUUGCAUGCGAAGAUUCUCUUGCAUUCUUGAAGAAGAACCACCAAUCAAGAAGUCAUGAUCAUCA
rnacentral:lncRNA from 1 species